AACGAACGCUGGCGGCAUGCCUAACACAUGCAAGUCGAACGAGACCUUCGGGUCUAUUGGCGCACGGGUGCGUAACGCGUGGGAACCUGCCCUUAGGUUCGGAAUAACUCCCCGAAAGGGGUGCUAAUACCGGAUAAUGUCUUCGGACCAAAGAUUUAUCGCCUUUGGAUGGGCCCGCGUUGGAUUAGCUAGUUGGUAGGGUAAAAGCCUACCAAGGCGACGAUCCAUAACUGGUCUGAGAGGAUGAUCAGCCACACUGGGACUGAGACACGGCCCAGACUCCUACGGGAUGCAGCAGUGGGGAAUAUUGGACAAUGGGCGAAAGCCUGAUCCAGCAAUGCCGCGUGAGUGAUGAAGGCCUUAGGGUUGUAAAGCUCUUUUACCCGGGAUGAUAAUGACAGUACCGGGAGAAUAAGCCCCGGCUAACUCCGUG
rnacentral:rRNA from 1 species